UACGAAGGGGGCUAGCGUUGUUCGGAUUUACUGGGCGUAAAGCGCACGUAGGCGGACUUUUAAGUCAGGGGUGAAAUCCCGGGGCUCAACCUCGGAACUGCCUUUGAUACUGGAAGUCUGGAGUAUGGAAGAGGUAAGUGGAAUUCCGAGUGUAGAGGUGAGAUUCGUAGAUAUUCGGAGGAACACCAGUGGCGAAGGCGGCUUACUGGUCCAUUACUGACGCUGAGGUGCGAAAGCGUGGGGAGCAAACAGG
rnacentral:rRNA from 1 species